rnacentral:rRNA from 1 species
AUUGAACGCUGGCGGCAGGCCUAACACAUGCAAGUCGAGCGGAUGAAGGGAGCUUGCUCCUGGAUUCAGCGGCGGACGGGUGAGUCAUGCCUAUGAAUCUGCCUGGUAGUGGGGGAUAACGUCCGGAAACGGGCGCUAAUACCGCAUACGUCCUGAGGGAGAAAGUGGGGGAUCUUCGGACCUCACGCUAUCAGAUGAGCCUAGGUCGGAUUAGCUAGUUGGUGGGGUAAUGGCCUACCAAGGCGACGAUCCGUAACUGGUCUGAGAGGAUGAUCAGUCACACUGAAAGUGAGAGACGGUACUGACUCCGACGGACGGCAGCAGUGGGUACUAUAGGACGAUGUGCGAAAGCCUGAACAAGCCAUGCAGCGUGGGUGAAGAAGGUCUUCGGAUUGGAAAACACCUUAAGUGGGGAAGAAGGCCAGCAAGUGAAUACCUUGUUGUUUUGACGGUACCAACAGAAUAAGCACCGGCUAACUUCGUG